rnacentral:miRNA from 12 species
GGGGGGGGGGGGGGGGGGGGGGGGGGGGGGGGGGGGGGGGGACAGUGGGGACACCCCAGGGACACCCCAGGGACACCCCCAG